GACGAAGGAUGCAAGCGUUAUCCGGAUUCAUUGGGUUUAAAGGGAGCGUAGGCGGUCUUGUAAGUCAGUGGUGAAAUCUCGCAGCUUAACUGCGAAACUGCCAUUGAUACUGCUUGACUAGAGUACAGAUGCUGUGGGCGGAAUAUGACAUGUAGUGGUGAAAUACAUAGAGAUGUUAUAGAACACCGAUUGCGAAGGCAGCUCACAAAACUGUAACUGACGCUGAGGCUCGAAAGUGUGGGGAGCAAACAGG
rnacentral:rRNA from 1 species